CCUACGGGAGGCAGCAGUGGGGAAUAUUGCGCAAUGGGCGAAAGCCUGACGCAGCGACGCCGCGUGAGGGAUGAAGGUCUUCGGAUCGUAAACCUCUGUCAGCAGGGAAGAACGGUCACUGUGCUAAUCAGCAGUGAAUUGACGGUACCUGCAAAGGAAGAACCGGCUAACUCCGUGCCAGCAGCCGCGGUAAUACGGAGGGUGCGAGAGUUAAUCGGAAUUACGGGGCGUAAAGCGCUCGUAGGCGGUAUGUCAAGUCAAGGGUGAAAUCCCCGCGCGCAACGUGGGAACUGCCUUUGAAACUGGCAAACUGGAGUGUGUGCGAGGAUAGUUGAAUUCCAGUUGUAUGAGUGAAAUCCGUAGAUAUCUGGAGGAACAUCAGUGGCGAAGGCGACUAUCUGGCACAUAACUGACGCUGAGGAGCGAAAGCGUGGGUAGCAAACAGGAUUAGAUACCCUUGUAGUC
rnacentral:rRNA from 1 species